GUUUCAGCAGCCGCGGUAAUACGAAGGGGGCUAGCGUUGUUCGGAAUCACUGGGCGUAAAGCGCACGUAGGCGGAUCUUUAAGUCAGAGGUGAAAUCCCAAGGCUCAACCUUGGAACUGCCUUUGAUACUGGAGAUCUUGAGUCCGGGAGAGGUGAGUGGAACUGCGAGUGUAGAGGUGAAAUUCGUAGAUAUUCGCAAGAACACCAGUGGCGAAGGCGGCUCACUGGCCCGGUACUGACGCUGAGGUGCGAAAGCGUGGGGAGCAAACAGGAUUAGAUACCCGGGUAGUCC
rnacentral:rRNA from 1 species